rnacentral:rRNA from 1 species
UACGUAGGUGACAAGCGUUGUCCGGAUUUACUGGGCGUAAAGAGCGCGCAGGCGGUCGUUCAAGUCGAGUGUGAAAGCCCCCGGCUCAACUGGGGAGGGUCAUUCGAUGCUGAUCGACUCGAAGGCAGGAGAGGGUAGUGGAAUUCCCGGUGUAGUGGUGAAAUGCGUAGAUAUCGGGAGGAACACCAGUGGCGAAGGCGACUACCUGGCCUGUUCUUGACGCUGAGGCGCGAAAGCUAGGGGAGCAAACGGG